GAUGAAGAACGCAGUGAAAUGCGAUACGUAAUGUGAAUUGCAGAAUUCAGUGAAUCAUCGAAUCUUUGAACGCACAUUGCGCCCGCCAGCAUUCUGGCGGGCAUGCCUGUUCGAGCGUCAUUUCAACCCUCGAGCCCCCCCGGGGGCCUCGGUGUUGGGGGACGGCACACCAGCCGCCCCCGAAAUGCAGUGGCGACCCCGCCGCAGCCUCCCCUGCGUAGUAGCACACACCUCGCACCGGAGCGCGGAGGCGGUCACGCCGUAAAACGCCCAACUUUCUUAGAGUUGACCUCGGAUCAGGUAGGAAUACCCGCUGAACUUAAGCAUAUCAAUAAGCGGAGGA
rnacentral:misc_RNA from 1 species